GUCAGCGACCAUGCCACAUAGAAGGCACCGGUUUUCGUCCGAUAACCGAAGUUAAACAAGGUCGGGUAGGGUUAGUAUUUGAAUGGGUGACUGGCUGGGAAUACCCGGUGUUGAUGACU
rnacentral:rRNA from 1 species